UGAGGAAUAUUGGUCAAUGGGCGGGAGCCUGAACCAGCCAAGCCGCGUGAGGGAUGAAGGCCCUAUGGGUCGUAAACCUCUUUUGUCAGGGAACAAAAGCGAGUAUGUAUACUAGUCUGAGUGUACCUGAAGAAAAAGCAUCGGCUAACUCCGUGCCAGCAGCCGCGGUAAUACGGAGGAUGCGAGCGUUAUCCGGAUUUAUUGGGUUUAAAGGGUGCGUAGGCGGCGGUGCAAGUCAGCGGUAAAAGCCCGGGGCUCAACCCCGGCGAGCCGUUGAAACUGCAGUGCUAGAGAAGGCGAGAGGUACGCGGAAUGCGCAGUGUAGCGGUGAAAUGCUUAGAUAUUGCGCAGAACUCCGAUUGCGAAGGCAGCGUACUGGCGCCUGACUGACGCUGAGGCACGAAAGCGUGGGGAUCGAACAGGAUUAGAACC
rnacentral:rRNA from 1 species